ACAUAUGGGGUAUCUCGUGGGAAUCCAGGAUUGGCAACGGUAGGAGGAGCUUAUUGUAAUUACAAGUAUUUUAAAGGGUAAAAUGUAAAUUUUUGUCAAUUCUCAAUUAUAAUUAUUUGUUUUCUUUUUGGUGUAGGUGUUGUCGCUAAUUAAUCUGACCACUCCGAAAUAUUGAAAUUUAAGUCGCAGAGAUUGAAAAAAAAAAAAAAAAAAGAGGAAGAACUGAAAGAAAAGUACGAGUGUUUUUCUGGUUGCGAAGCAUCCUCGCGGCGACUAGUUCCCGAACACGUCCAAUAACUCCUGCUUUCUAAAGUUUUGUUUGAGUUUAUACGUUUUGACUCAAAAAAAAAUAAAAAUGACACGUACACAUUUACUUGAAUUGUAAUUAGUAAUUAUGGACACGUUCAAUGUUUUUAAACCCGACCUGGAUGGUGGUGAACCGGACUAGCUUCCGGAUCACCGGGUCUUAAGGUUGACCGGAUUCGAC
rnacentral:lncRNA from 1 species